GAUUAUCUUUGUGUGGAUGGUGUUCAGUACCAAGGACAGACAUGUUUACUUGUUUUCGAAUGGUGUUCAGCAUCAGGGACAGGCAUGUUUAGCU
rnacentral:pre_miRNA from 1 species